rnacentral:tRNA from 2 species
GCCCGUGUGGCGGAAUUGGCAGACGCGCCGUCUUCAGGUGGCGGUCCCGGCAACGGGGUAGAGGUUCGAGUCCUCUCACGGGCA